UACGUAGGCAGCAAGCGUUGUUCGGAGUUACUGGGCGUAAAGGGUGUGUAGGCGGUUCUUUUAAGUUUGGUGUGAAAUCUCCCGGCUCAACUGGGAGGGUGCGCCGAAUACUGAGGGACUAGAGUACGGGAGAGGAAAGUGGAAUUCCUGGUGUAGCGGUGAAAUGCGUAGAUAUCAGGAGGAACACCGGUGGUGUAGACGGCUUUCUGGACCGUAACUGACGCUGAAACACGAAAGCGUGGGUAGCAAACAGG
rnacentral:rRNA from 1 species